AUGAUGUAACUGGCAAUCUCCAUGCAUUCCAGAGAGGGAGGGCCUGUGUUCUCCAGGAGAUAGUGAUGUUAGAAGGGUGCCAGGUUUUCUGUGACCUUUGCCUCUCAGCUGAGUUGCUGGGGAGGAAACCAGCUACAAAGACACCAUGAAGAUUGCCUCCAUGUAAUCCCCUCUGAAAUCCAGUCUCUAUCAGAAUAAGAGGAGAAAAGGCAUCUGGCAGUGAAGAAAUGGGAGAGAAGAUACGAGGUGCAGAGCUGGAGAGAAGAUAAGCCCACCAAAACUUUGCUGAGUCUACAUGUCCUAUCCUAUGACAACCAGAUGGGAACAAAUGGUUCCACCAAUAUAAUUUGUUUUGUCCAAUUUAUAUGAUGAAAGGAUGGUAUGACAGCAGAGAGAAACAUCCGCAGCAAAGCCCUUUGGUGCCAAAGACUUGGUGCAAUUAUUCAUCUCCUCUCCUCUGCCCAUCUCCUGUUUUGUUUUUCUCUGCAUGUGUCAUACUUUCCAACCAGCCAUGAAUACACCUGGUGCCCUAGAAAGGCUGUGGUCAGCAGAAUGCAGUUCUCCAAGAUGGCUUUGCAAGUCCUAGAAUGACCAGGAGAAACCCCUGCAUUACCUUAAAAAUGUAGUAUCAUAGGACCGUACACUUGAAACUUUUAUAAUUUUAUUAACCAAU